UACGUAGGGGGCAAGCGUUGUCCGGAUUUAUUGGGCGUAAAGAGCGUGUAGGCGGCUUUACAGGUCCGUUGUGAAAACUCGAGGCUCAACCUCGAGACGCCGGUGGAAACCGUAAAGCUAGAGUCCGGAAGAGGAGAGUGGAAUUCCUGGUGUAGCGGUGAAAUGCGCAGAUAUCAGGAAGAACACCCGUGGCUAAGGCGGCUCUCUAGUACGGUACUGACG
rnacentral:rRNA from 1 species